rnacentral:rRNA from 1 species
GACGAACGCUGGCGGCGUGCCUAAUACAUGCGAGUAGAACGCUGAAGCUUGGUGCUUGCACCGAGCGGAUGAGUUGCGAACGGGUGAGUAACGCGUAGGUAACCUGCCUGGUAGCGGGGGAUAACUAUUGGAAACGAUAGCUAAUACCGCAUAAGAGUAGAUGUUGCAUGACAUUUGCUUAAAAGGUGCAAUUGCAUCACUACCAGAUGGACCUGCGUUGUAUUAGCUAGUUGGUGAGGUAACGGCUCACCAAGGCAACGAUACAUAGCCGACCUGAGAGGGUGAUCGGCCACACUGGGACUGAGACACGGCCCAGACUCCUACGGGAGGCAGCAGUAGGGAAUCUUCGGCAAUGGACGGAAGUCUGACCGAGCAACGCCGCGGGAGUGAAGAAGGGUUUCGGAUCGUAAAGCUCGGUUGUAAGAGAAGAACGAGUGUGAGAGUGGAAAGUUCACACUGUGACGGUAUCUUACCAGAAAGGGACGGCUAACUACGUG